GUCUCAGAUGGGGGGUGGGGCCCCAGCUUCAUUCCAUGGAGUCAAAGAUGGAUCUAAAUCAAAGUGAUGUUGGAGUUGCCACUGAGAGCC